rnacentral:rRNA from 1 species
UGCCCAGAGAUCGGGAUAACACCUGGAAACAGAUGCUAAUACCGGAUAACAACAGAUGAUGCCUAUCAACUGUUUAAAAGAUGGUUCUGCUAUCACUCUUGGAUGGACCUGCGGUGCAUUAGCUAGUUGGUAGGGUAACGGCCUACCAAGGCGAUGAUGCAUAGCCGAGUUGAGAGACUGAUCGGCCACAUUGGGACUGAGACACGGCCCAAACUCCUACGGGAGGCAGCAGCU